UACAAUAUUUCUAGCAUUCUCAACCCCAUAUCUGCUGUGAAUGGUGAACUUGUAAUAUUAACACCUUGACUACCAAGAUAUUUUUUUUGAUAAGGUGAAUUUGUAUUAAUAAAAAAUGUACCAAGAAGGUACACAAAGAGUACAAAAACAGGGCAUAUAGCACCUACAAAGAUCACUCAAUUACGUCUUUCCAACAAAUCCAAAAAUUCCAGAUACUGGUCCAUACUAUCUACUAACCAUCUAUUACACCAAAAAAACAGAUAAUGCAGACAUAUGUUUUUGAGCCUAGCAGUGUUGUUCUUUUUAUUCUCAAAACAGACGCUGUUUCUUUCUGCCCAAAUGGUCCAGACUACCAAGAUAUUAAACCAUGAAUCUAUUUCUUAAGCUUCAACAUCCACGAGUAAAUAAACGGAACGAUUGGUCAUUAAUCAACUUUUAAGCAUUCUCAAAACCAUAUCUGCUGUGAAUGGUGAACUUGUAAUAUUAACACCUUGACUACCAAGAUAUUAAACCAUGAACCUAUUUCUUUAGCUUCAACAUCCUCGAGUAAAUAAACGGAACGGUUGGUCAUUAAUCCCAGCAACUCAGAAACAAAAACAAAUACAACAU
rnacentral:lncRNA from 1 species